rfam:Basidiobolus meristosporus CBS 931.73 K493scaffold_651, whole genome shotgun sequence.
GGUGAGGUGGCCAAGUGGUCUAAGGCGCUGCGUUCAGUUCGCAGUCUCUUUGGAGGUGUGGAUUCAAACCCCACCCUCAUCA